UACGAAGGGGGCUAGCGUUGUUCGGAUUUACUGGGCGUAAAGCGCACGUAGGCGGACUAUUAAGUCAGGGGUGAAAUCCCGGGGCUCAACCCCGGAACUGCCUUUGAUACUGGUAGUCUUGAGUUCGAGAGAGGUGAGUGGAAUUCCGAGUGUAGAGGUGAAAUUCGUAGAUAUUCGGAGGAACACCAGUGGCGAAGGCGGCUCACUGGCUCGAUACUGACGCCGAGGUGCGAAAGCGUGGGGAGCAAACAGG
rnacentral:rRNA from 1 species